rnacentral:lncRNA from 1 species
CCAACCCUCUUCCUUGAUACAUGAAAGACGAUCUGCCAAUUACAAGCCAAAUAUUUGGAAGUAUGGUUUCUUUGAAUCUCUUAAUAGCAAAUACCACGUGAGUUAUCUUUAUCCUAAUUAAUUUCUUCCUGGUUACUCGAUAUUAAUAACCUAAAUUUUAUUUAAUGCGCAUAUUAACUGAGUGCAGGGAGAUGAUUAUACGAGGCAGUCUGAGAAGCUAAUAGAAGAUGUAAAGAAUCAUAUGAUGUCUGUUGGAACAAAAGAUUUGAUAGCUCAAUUGGAGCUGAUUGACAGCAUCGGAAAACUAGGGCUCACGAACCACUUUGAAAAGGAAAUUAAGGAAGCCCUAGACACAAUAGCAUCUAUUGAAAAUGACGAUCCCUACAUGACAGAGAACCUUUAUGCUACUGCGUUGCACUUUAAGAUCCUUAGGCAGCAUGGCUAUAAAGUAUCACAAGGUAUAUUAUAUAGAUUAAUUGCAAAACUAUCAACCAUAAAUUUAUCUUAUUUCCUGUUAUUUUACUUUCACAUUAAUAUAUAAUGUAUACAGAUGUAUUUGGUGGCUUCUUGGAUGAGAAAGGUACGUUAGAGAAAAGCCAUUUUUCAGAUGUCAAAGGAAUGCUUGAACUUUUGGAGGCCUCAAACUUGGCUUUAGACGGGGAAAAUGUCUUAGAUGAGGCGAAAGCUUUCUCUACGUUAGCUCUCAGAGAUUCCAAUAUCUGUAAUAUUCUGGACAAUAACCUUGCGAGGCAUGUGGUCCAUGCUUUGGAGCUUUCAUCACAUCGAAGAGUAGGGUGGUUUAAUGUCAAAUGGCACAUACAUGCCUAUGAGAAAGACAAUCACGUCAAAACCAUUUUACUUGAAUUGGCUAAACUUAACUUUAACAUGGUUCAAGCAACGCUGCAAAAAGAUAUAAAGGAAGCAUCCAAGUAAGUAAAAGCAUAAAUCAUGUAUCCUAAUUCUUUAGAAAAUGGAACAAUAUUAUUUAACAACAUGGUUUAUAACGUUCACAACAUAAUGGUAACUUGCUGUUGCUUUGGGUUUUGAUAUGUCACUUAGGUGGUGGAAGAAUCUGGGCCUCGCAGAACACUUGAAAUUUGCAAGAGAUAGACCAGUCGAGUGUUUCAUGUGUGCUGUGGGAUUAAAUUUCCAGCCUGACUACACAUCUUUUAGAAUACGGCUUACUAAAGUCAUCUACUUGAUUCUGAUAAUAGACGACGUUUAUGACGUCUAUGGCUCACUGGAAGAGCUAAAGCUCUUCACGAACGCCGUCGAUAGGUUAGCUAGUUUUGGCAUAAAACAAAUUAAUUAGCAGUAUUAGCCAAUUAAAUUAGGGUUAGUUUCAUAAUUAAUGUCUAAAUUCUCAUAAAUUAAAAGUGCCUUAAAUUUAGGUGGGAUGUUGGGGAAACUGAGCAGCUUCCAGAGUGUAUGAAGAUCUGUUUCCAAGUGCUCUACAACACUACUUGUGAAAUUGCUCAUGCAAUCGAGGAGGAAAAUGGCUGGAACCUAGUGUUACCUCAUUUGAGCAAAGUGGUACUAUAGCCUAGCAAGGCCUGUUCCUUUUCUUUCAUUAUUUUUUUUUUAAAGUUUAAUUUUAUUUAAUUAUAUAUAUAUAUAUAUAUAUAUAUAUGUGUGUGUGUGUUUGUGUGUGGUUGAAGUUGAGAAAUUAUUUGUUUGACUCUUAGUGGGCAGAUUUCUGUAAAGCAUUACUAUUGGAGGCAGAGUGGUACAGUAGCGGCUAUACACCAUCCCUCGAAGAGUACCUAAGUAAUGGAUGCAUUUCAUCAUCAGCUUCAGUCCUCUUGGUUCAUACAUUUUUCUCCACAACUCAUCGUGAUCAGCCAACCGAAGAGAUUGCCGAUUUUUGGCACAAGAAUGAAGAUUUUGUGAAUAACAUAUCUCUGAUAGUUCGGCUCACCGAUGAUCUGGCAACUUACCGGGUAAAUUUCUGAUUAACUUUUACAGCUUACUUCCCUUAUCUUUAAAAAACUAAUGAAUUAAUUAACAGGCUGAACAAGAGAGAGGCGAUGCUCCUUCAGCAAUCCUAUGUUACAUGCGAGAGAUGAAUGUUUCUGAAGAUAUAGCCGAGACGAAGAUUAAAGGCAUGAUAGACAAAGCGUGGAAGAAAAUAAAUGGGAAAUGCUUGAGAACCCCACAAGUUCCUUUCCUCUCACCAUUCAUCAACAUUGCCACAAAUAUUGCGCGAAUGGUGCACAACCUUUACCAAGAUGGAGAUGGAUUUGGUGAUCAAGAAAAAGGCUCUCGGCUGAUCCAGUCUCUACUAGCUGAGCCUUUACUGCUUUGA